AUAUUCUCUUUACUGUAUUUAUACUAAAACUGGAAGAGUACACAGGUUAGUGUGGCCUCUACACAAUGAUGAUACACAAAUUCAUGAAGUAGUCCAUACUUUU
rnacentral:snRNA from 1 species